rnacentral:rRNA from 1 species
AGCCGGCCUGAGAGGGCGACCGGCCACACUGGGACUGAGACACGGCCCAGACUCCUACGGGAGGCAGCAGUGGGGAGUAUUGCACAAUGGGCGGAGGCCUGAUGCAGCGACGCCGCGUGAGGGAUGACGGCCUUCGGGUUGUAAACCUCUUUCAGCAGGGACGAAGCGCAAGUGACGGUACCUGCAGAAGAAGCGCCGGCCAACUACGUGCCAGCAGCCGCGGUAAGACGUAGGGCGCGAGCGUUGUCCGGAUUUAUUGGGCGUAAAGAGCUCGUAGGCGGCUUGUCGCGUCGACCGUGAAAACUUGGGGCUCAACCCCAAGCCUGCGGUCGAUACGGGCAGGCUAGAGUUCGGUAGGGGAGACUGGAAUUCCUGGUGUAGCGGUGAAAUGCGCAGAUAUCAGGAGGAACACCGGUGGCGAAGGCGGGUCUCUGGGCCGAUACUGACGCUGAGGAGCGAAAGCGUGGGGAGCGAACAGGAUUAGAUACCCUGGUAGUCCACGCUGUAAACGUUGGGCGCUAGGUGUGGGGGGCCUCUCCGGUUCUCUGUGCCGCAGCUAACGCAUUAA